rnacentral:snRNA from 1 species
UCACUUCUGUAGUACAUAUAUUAAAAUUGGAACUGUGCAAAGAAGAUUAGCAUGGCUCCUGUGCAAGGAUGAAAUGCAAAUUUGUGAUGUUUUCCAUAUUUUU